rnacentral:rRNA from 1 species
AUUGAACGCUGGCGGCAUGCCUUACACAUGCAAGUCGAACGGUAACAGGUCUUCGGAUGCUGACGAGUGGCGAACGGGUGGGUAAUACAUCGGAACGUGCCCGAUCGUGGGGGAUAACGGAGCGAAAGCUUUGCUAAUACCGCAUACGAUCUACGGAUGAAAGCAGGGGACCGCAAGGCCUUGCGCGGACGGAGCGGCCGAUGGCAGAUUAGGUAGUUGGUGGGAUAAAAGCUUACCAAGCCGACGAUCUGUAGCUGGUCUGAGAGGACGACCAGCCACACUGGGACUGAGACACGGCCCAGACUCCUACGGGAGGCAGCAGUGGGGAAUUUUGGACAAUGGGCGAAAGCCUGAUCCAGCCAUGCCGCGUGCAGGAUGAAGGCCUUCGGGUUGUAAACUGCUUUUGUACGGAACGAAAAGACUCUUUCUAAUAAAGAGGGUCCAUGACGGUACCGGAAGAAUAAGCACCGGCUAACUACGUG